CCCUGGUUGGCUGAGUUGGUAGAGCGCUCCACCUGUAAUGGAGAGGUCCCCGGUUCGAUAUCCGGACCAGGCG
rnacentral:tRNA from 1 species